UACGAAGGGGGCUAGCGUUGUUCGGAAUCACUGGGCGUAAAGGGCGCGUAGGCGGCCGAUCAAGUCGGGGGUGAAAGCCUGUGGCUUAACCACAGAAUGGCCUUCGAUACUGUUUGGCUUGAGACCGGAAGAGGUUAGUGGAACUGCGAGUGUAGAGGUGAAAUUCGUAGAUAUUCGCAAGAACACCAGUGGCGAAGGCGGCUCACUGGACUGGUAUUGACGCUGAGGUGCGAAAGCGUGGGGAGCAAACAGG
rnacentral:rRNA from 1 species